CCGGCCCCACCAAUCGCGGCCCGCCCUUUCGUCUCCCCGAAGCCCGCGUCCCCUCAGGCCUCGCUCCCACCCGCUCGCCGCUCGCUCCCAUCCCCGGGAGAACUCCCGGCCGGCGCGUGGACAGGAGCCCCCGCCGGCCUUUCCCGGGCCCCAGCAGCACCUCCCGGGGCAGCGGCAGCGCGGCCCCGCCGGCUCCAGAAGCCGCGGCGGACUGAUAACCACGGUGGAACGAGACUCAUCACCCCCACUCAUGCAAGAUAAAAAGGGACUGAAGAGAAGGAAAGGUUGUCAGCUUUUGGCGGAGCCAGGCUCCCAGCUGAACCCAGCGCUGUUUUGCUUGCUAUCGCUUGCUGUAAUUAAUAAAAUUAUUAAUUGAUCUUAA